GUAGGUGAACCUGCGGAGGGAUCAUUACCGAGUGCGGGCCCUCGCGCCCAACCUCCCAACCCUUUGUCGAUUCAUAUCUGUUGCCUCGGGGGGCGACCCGGACGUCGCGCCGGGAGUCCCCCAGAGGUCCAACCCAACACACUGCGUCUCUGCGUCGGAGUAUUGAAUAACAAUCAAUCAAAACUUUCAACAACGGAUCUCUUGGUUCUGGCAUCGAUGAAGAACGCAGCAUCUGACUGACUUCAGGUUG
rnacentral:misc_RNA from 1 species